UACGGGGGGGGCAAGCGUUGUUCGGAAUUACUGGGCGUAAAGGGCUCGUAGGUGGCCAACUAAGUCAGACGUGAAAUCCCUCGGCUUAACCGGGGAACUGCGUCUGAUACUGGAUGGCUUGAGUUUGGGAGAGGGACGCGGAAUUCCAGGUGUAGCGGUGAAAUGCGUAGAUAUCUGGAGGAAUACCGGUGGCGAAGGCGGCAUCCUGGACCAUAACUGACGCUGAGGCGCGAAAGCGUGGGUAGCAAACAGG
rnacentral:rRNA from 1 species